rnacentral:tRNA from 3 species
CGCGGGGUGGAGAAGUCUGGUAUCUCGUUGGUCUCAUAAGCCAAAGAUCGCAGGUUCAAAUCCUGCCCCCGCAA